AUGAACGCUGGCGGCGUGCCUAAUACAUGCAAGUCGAGCGAACAGACGAGGAGCUUGCUCCUCUGACGUUAGCGGCGGACGGGUGAGUAACGCGUGGAUAACCUACCUAUAAGACUGGGAUAACUUCGGGAAACCGGAGCUAAUACCGGAUAAUAUAUUGAACCGCAUGGUUCAAUAGUGAAAGACGGUUUUGCUGUCACUUAUAGAUGGAUCCGCGCCGCAUUAGCUAGUUGGUAAGGUAACGGCUUACCAAGGCGACGAUGCGUAGCCGACCUGAGAGGGUGAUCGGCCACACUGGAACUGAGACACGGUCCAGACUCCUACGGGAGGCAGCAGUAGGGAAUCUUCCGCAAUGGGCGAAAGCCUGACGGAGCAACGCCGCGUGAGUGAUGAAGGUCUUCGGAUCGUAAAACUCUGUUAUUAGGGAAGAACAAAUGUGUAAGUAACUAUGCACGUCUUGACGGUACCUAAUCAGAAAGCCACGGCUAACUACGUG
rnacentral:rRNA from 1 species